UGUGCUUUGCUGGAGUUUCAUAAGUGAGCUCAGGGUACGGGAAAAGCACUAGAGCAACUUGACUUUGACAGCUGGACUAAAAUAUUGGUCUGCCUGACAUAGUCAUCGAAAUAUGCUACCCUGUCUCUACCAGCCUGACAACAGAAACAGUGUGUUCAUGCUGGACUCUUCAGCAGUCCUGUAUACACCUUCUGUGACUCAGCCAAAGAUGAAGUUCAUGUACAAGAAGAACAUCUCAGGUACUAUUUGCUUCCAAGCUUCCAGUCAUAGCCAAUGGAAUUAUGUUGUUAUUAAGUCCCAGCCUGACCUUCCAGGAUCUCUUCAUUUUAUCUGAUCACUGAAGACAUCUGAACAUAUUUGGACUGCAACUGAUGAAAAGUAAGAGACUGUCAGGUUGGCAUUUAUGCAGAAAGAAAGAUGGUUUUUUUUUUUUUUUUGCCUUAAUCAAGUAUUUCAGCUCUCAGAACAGAUUGUGAGACUUUCUCCAACCAAUGUAGAAGCAUAGACAAAGUAUUUGUACUGUGAUUACUCUAGUGAUUUUAUCUGAAUUUCUUUAUAGCUAUAUCCUUUCUACCAUUUCAUACUUACUGGGAUUUCUUUCUUGUUUGCUGAGCUGACAAUCAUUUAUCAGCAUGUAUGCUUCUUCCCUGAAAGAAUUUUUAAAAAAUGGUUUCAUUGUAGUCAGCAAAUGGCACUGUACUAGACUUAAUACACUUGUCUGAAGUGAAACUUCUAUUGUUGUGGACAGACAGUCUGAUGUUUUGGCUCGACAAAUGAUGAGCUAAAUCAUUCAGGCAUAACAAGUUUAUAUAUAGAAAACUUGAAGUAGGAAUAAAAAUUAGUUGAUGCAGAAAAUUUGAGAUAGAAUUGAAGCAAGAGAACUGGUCUUCAAGGACUUCAGAGAAGAUAUUUCCAUGACAACAGAAUACUUAGGUAUGCAAAUAAAGAAACAAAGCAUCUUAAAUUCAGUAAAUACACCUCUAUUUCCUAGAAUAAAAUCUGAACAAUCAAGGAGUACCACUUAUGUAGAAAAGGGUAUGGUGAGCUGAGAAGAUAGUAGUAUUUCAAUUUCAGGCCAAAUUAUCUUCUCACUUAAAUCAGCACUAUUUUUUAAAUUGUAGAACCACAGAGGUACAUAUAGACAGAUGAAAUCAUUCCUCUCUUGGUCUGUAAUAAUGCUGUGCUGUGACAGGAUCAAAAGCUCUAGACUUUCUUCAGUAGGUUAUCUAUACAACAGCUAAAACAAGCUUUUUAAUGAUAGAGAUUCCACCACCUUCCUUCAAGCUCAUCCAACUUGGCUACCUUAGAAGUUAAAAAAUUUCCCUCAAAUACUAACACCUAUUUUUGUUGCAAGCUAAGUCAUUUUCUCUUGUGAUGACCCUCUACCACUGGCCACAGAGAACAGUUUCCUCAUAACAAUCAUCUAAAUAUGAAAAAUUAUUAUGUUAUGUUCUGUAAGUUUUCAGAAUAUUAUAUAAAGGGAUUAACAUUUAUGACAGAGGCUCAUGUUAUUAUGGAUUGUAAUGUAAUCUCUGCAAUAAAUAUUGUAGACCUUCUUCCAUGAACCAUGCUGUAUUAUAAAUUUGGUAUUAUGCUCAAGGGCUUUUCUUGUUAAGGAAAGGAAAACAUAUAUGAUUUAUGAUCAUACAGCUCUCUGCUAUCAUA